UUUUACCCGAGACACUACUCUCAGCCUUUGUCUCUAAUAAUCUCUAGUAUAUAGGAGAAUAUUGUCCUGGCCAGCACGGCCCGGUCUGACGUCAUACCUUACGUCUGGAGACCGACCAUUGAAUGUUUUGUGGGAGGGAAGACAAUUGCCAUUGUCAGCCUCACCCUCUCGACGUUUCCAUGGAAUGUCCAAUACAUGUUUACUACCAGCAUAUCCCCUGGUGCAUUUAAACUUUCUUUUAAAUCCCGAGGUUACUGUUGUUUCAGUAUUUACUUGUUUUUUCCAAAGAUUGUUGGCCAAUGGGUCUCUGUGUUCAGCAGGUGCAUAUGUGAGAUUGUUGGCCAAUGUGUCUAUGCUUUCUGAAAGUGGAGAUGUGAAAUUGUUGGCCGAUUUGUCUGUGUGUUCUACAGGUGUAGAUGUGAAAUUGUUGGCCAGAUGUGUCUAUGUGUUCUGAAGGUUGAAAUGUGAAAUUGUUGGCCGAUGUGUCUAUGCUUUCUGAAAGUGGAGAUGUGAAAUUGUUGGCCAAUGUGUCUAUGUGUUCUAAAGGUGUAGAUGUGAAAUUGUUGGUCAGUUUGUCUAUAUGUUCUACAGGUGUAGAUGUGAAAUUGUUGGCCGAUGUGUCUAUGUGUUCUGAAGGUUUAGAUGUGAAAUUGUUGGCCGAUGUGUCUAUGCUUUCUGAAAGUGGAGAUGUGAAAUUGUUGGCCGAUGUGUCUAUGUGUUCUAAAGGUGGAGAUGUGAAAUUGUUGGUCAGUUUGUCUAUAUGUUCUACAGGUGUAGAUGUGAGAUUGUUGGCCGAUGUGUCUAUGUGUUCUGAAGGUGUAGAUGUGAAAUUGUUGGCCGAUGUGUCUAUGUGUUCUGAAGGUGUAGAUGUGA